rnacentral:rRNA from 1 species
GAUGAACGCUAGCGAUAGGCUUAACACAUGCAAGUCGAGGGGUAACGUGUUGGAAGCUUGCUUCCGAUGACGACGACCGGCGGAUGGGUGCGUAACGCGUAUGCAACUUGCCUCACAGUGGAGAAUAACCCGGAGAAAUCCGGACUAAUACUCCAUACACUCUUAAGUACGCCUGUACAUGAGAGGAAAGAUUUAUCGCUGUGAGAUAGGCAUGCGUCCUAUUAGGUAGUUGGUGAGGUAACGGCUCACCAAGCCGACGAUAGGUAGGGGUGCUGAGAGGCAGAUCCCCCACAUUGGGACUGAGACACGGCCCAAACUCCUACGGGAGGCAGCAGUGAGGAAUAUUGGUCAAUGGAGGAAACUCUGAACCAGCCAAGUCGCGUGAAGGAAGAAUGUCCUAAGGAUUGUAAACUUCUUUAGCGAGCGAGUAAGGACUUCCACGUGAUGGGAGUUUGAAAGUAGCUCGAGAAUAAAUAUCGGCUAACUCCGU